rnacentral:tRNA from 1 species
GGCUGGGUAGCUCAGUUGGUUAGAGCAUUGUGCCAAUAUGCCAAGGUUGCGGGUUCAAUCCCUGCCUGGUCA